CCUACGUGAGGCAGCAGUGAGGAAUAUUGGUCAAUGGGCGAGAGCCUGCACCAGCCAAGUCGCGUGAGGGAAGACGGUCCUACGGAUUGUAAACCUCUUUUGUCAGGGAGCAAGGAGCGCCACGAGUGGUGUGGCGAGAGUACCUGAAGAAAAAGCAUCGGCUAACUCCGUGCCAGCAGCCGCGGUAAUACGGAGGAUGCGAGCGUUAUUCGGAUUUAUUGGGUUUAAAGGGUGCGCAGGCGGAAGCGGCAAGUCAGCGGUAAAAUUGCGGGGCUCAACCUCGCCGAGCCGUUGAAACUGCUCUUCUAGAGUGGGCGAGAAGUAUGCGGAAUGCGUGGUGUAGCGGUGAAAUGCAUAGAUAUCACGCAGAACUCCGAUUGCGAAGGCAGCAUACCGGCGCCCAACUGACGCUCAUGCACGAAAGCGUGGGUAUCGAACAGGAUUAGAUACCCUUGUAGUC
rnacentral:rRNA from 1 species